GAGUUUGAUUAUGGCUCAGGAUGAACGCUAGCUACAGGCUUAACACAUGCAAGUCGAGGGGCAGCAUGGGCUUAGCUUGCUAAGCCCGAUGGCGACCGGCGCACGGGUGAGUAACACGUAUCCAACCUUCCGGUAACUCCGGUAUAGCCUUUCGAAAGAAAGAUUAAUCCCGGAUAGUAUGGUGAUUCCGCAUGGUUUCUCCAUUAAAGGAUUCCGGUUACCGAUGGGGAUGCGUUCCAUUGGGCAGUUGGCGGGGUAACGGCCCACCAAACCUACGAUGGAUAGGGGUUCUGAGAGGAAGGUCCCCCACAUUGGAACUGAGACACGGUCCAAACUCCUACGGGAGGCAGCAGUGAGGAAUAUUGGUCAAUGGGCGGAAGCCUGAACCAGCCAAGUAGCGUGAAGGAUGACUGCCCUAUGGGUUGUAAACUUCUUUUAUAAGGGAAUAAUUGCGGGUACGCGUACCCGUUGCAUNACCUAGAUA
rnacentral:rRNA from 1 species